GGCUGGGGUUUCUGAGAAAGAAAGAAUCCCCCAAGAGGAAAACAUGACGUGGCUUUGUCUCCUCCUCUGCCUGGUCGCUGCAGCCCCAGGUGUCCUGUCCCAGGUGCAGCUGCAAGAGUCAGGCCCAGGACUGGUGAAUCCCUCACAGACCCUCUCCCUCACCUGUGCUGUCUCUGGAGUCUCCAUCACAAGUAGCUAUAACUACUGGUCCUGGAUCCGCCAAUCCACAGAGAAGGGGCUUCAGUGGAUUGGGUAUAUAGGUUAUAGUGGUAGCACUAACUACAACCCAUCCCUCAAGAGCCGCAGCUCCAUUUCCAGAGACACAUCCAAGAAUGAGUUUUCCCUACAGCUGAGCUCUGUGACCACUGACGACACGGCUGUAUAUUACUGUGCAAGAGGCACAGUGAAAGGAAGUCAGUAG